GACGAACGCUGGCGGCGUGCCUAAUACAUGCAAGUUGAGCGCUGAAGGUUGGUACUUGUACCAACUGGAUGAGCAGCGAACGGGUGAGUAACGCGUGGGGAAUCUGCCUUUGAGCGGGGGACAACAUUUGGAAACGAAUGCUAAUACCGCAUAAAAACUUUAAACACAAGUUUUAAGUUUGAAAGAUGCAAUUGCAUCACUCAAAGAUGAUCCCGCGUUGUAUUAGCUAGUUGGUGAGGUAAAGGCUCACCAAGGCGAUGAUACAUAGCCGACCUGAGAGGGUGAUCGGCCACACUGGGACUGAGACACGGCACAAACUCCUACGGGAGGCAGCAGUAGGGAAUCUUCGGCAAUGGACGAAAGUCUGACCGAGCAACGCCGCGUGAGUGAAGAAGGUUUUCGGAUCGUAAAACUCUGUUGGUAGAGAAGAACGUUGGUGAGAGUGGAAAGCUCAUCAAGUGACGGUAACUACCCAGAAAGGGACGGCUAACUACGUG
rnacentral:rRNA from 1 species